UACAGAGGUCUCAAGCGUUGUUCGGAUUCAUUGGGCGUAAAGGGUGCGUAGGCGGCGCGGUAAGUCGGGUGUGAAAUUUCGAGGCUUAACUUCGGAACUGCAUUCGAUACUGCCGUGCUUGAGGACUGGAGAGGAGACUGGAAUUUACGGUGUAGCGGUGAAAUGCGUAGAUAUCGUAAGGAAGACCAGUGGCGAAGGCGGGUCUCUGGACAGUUCCUGACGCUGAGGCACGAAGGCCAGGGGAGCAGACGGG
rnacentral:rRNA from 1 species